GAAAGAUGAUACAAGUAUUAUAAACAUUGAAGCUUCUCAAAAAAAACCUGCUCUGAUAUGUCCUCUUCAAUCAAUUAACAAGCAGAGAACAGUCCACAUAUCAUUCUACUUCCAUCAGAAAAGGAAGAAUACCCUUGUAAGUGAACACAAGGCCAGGGGUCUCUA